rnacentral:rRNA from 1 species
AUGCCCAAUGGGGCACAAGCCUCGACUGAGGAAGGCGAGGCGAGCGGGGGCGAGGCGAGCAGGGGCGAGGCGAGCGGGGGCGAGAGCCAGGAAGAGGAGGAAUGGGACUCGGAUGCUGCAGGGGAUGAUGACGACGAUGAUGAUGAUGAAGGUGAUGAAGAUGACAUCGAGGACGAGGAAGAAGAGGAGGAGGAGGUCGUUCCACCGCGCUCAGAAAGGCGGUCGAAGCUUGUCCACGACCCUUCGACCGAACGUGGUAAGGGGGUUGCGACUGCCACUCAGUCGACCAAGCGCGCUCGGACCACCUCUCCGGCGCCGACUGAAAAGGCACCGAAGCAGCCCAGGGCGGCCUCAUCGAAGCCGACCAAGCUCCUGCCGAAGAUGAAGGUGUCCAUCCCCACCAUAUCAGGUGCUGCUACUUCUGAGACCUCGGCCCGGGCCGAUGACCACGAGAUGGAGGAUGCGGCAACUUCGAACCCAGCUCCACCCAACACUGUUAUCGAUCUUCCUGAUGAUGAUGAGGAUGAAGAGCCGCUGAAGCACAGGAGGAGUCGGAAAGCGUCCACCAGUAAGGUGCCUCAGGAUGUGCCGGCGCCUGAAAUUCUGACUGUGGAGGAAGAGAACACCACUCGACACACGGUGUCCUUCGCGAAUCCACUGACGAGUGUUCAGCAGCCUUCCCUCUUCACGACGCACCACGUCCCAGAGGACCAAGCUGGCGCAGCGAAGGAGGCGAUACGCCAGGCGGGACUCAUGAUGGAGCAGCUGAAGACCAUCCGGGACGCGAGCCAGGCAGCUUAUGACGCCAGUUCUGCCCUCCAAAGCAAUGUCCAGAACUCCUGUGAUCUUGUGGCUCGCUACUCAGAGCUGGAACAAAAACAUACUCAAGUCGAGCUGAGCUUGAAGCUGGUUCAGGAGAAGCUGACAAAGGCAAAGGAGGAGACCGAAGGUAUGUUUGGUAAGGUAAGGGAGGCCCAGCAGAAGAAAGACCUUGAGCUAGCUGAGAAGAUCAAGCUUGCUGACGAGAAGUUAGCUUCAGUCACCAAGCUCGAACAAGACAAUACCAAUCUGAAAACUGCUCUUGGGAUUGCCAACAAGGAAGUCAGUCGACUGAGAACUGACGAAGCUGCCUUGACCGACCAAGUCAGCAAAUUGACUGAGAAGAAAACUGAACUGGAGGCCUUCCUGAGUGGCUUUGCCAAGAAGCUGUUUCUUAUGCUUGAAGAAUUUUGUCAAAACUUUGAAGAGGAAACCAGCCGACUGGAGCCAAACCUUGACCCCGUCAAUUCUCCGGUGAACGACGAAGUUGCCAUGGAUGUUUUCCGACUGGAGUCUCGUGUCGCAGCUGUCGUGGACUAUCUCGCAAGGCUGAAGGCCGCCACAUCUCGCAUCGACUUGACGCUCUGGCCUGAGGAGACACUUCAGAAUGACCUUGAGUCGCUGAUGGCCCGCUUGAACACGAUCCCUGGUCGAGUGCAAGAGUGGAAGAAGUCCUCGGCUCGGUGUGGUGCAGAUGUCGCUCUGUGUCUGGCCCGAGUCCACUGCAAAGAUGCACGAGAGGAGAAGCUGGCGGCCCUUCGGGUGGCCAAUACCAAGAAGCACGACUUCAGGUCUUUUAUGGAGACUUUCCUUGCAGCUGCCACUCGGAUCGCCGACGGAAUUGACCUUGAUGAAUUUGUUGCACCUUCCAGCCCUCCACAGGAGGGGUAA